CCUAGGGGGGCAGCAGUGGGGAAUAUUGGACAAUGGGCGAAAGCCUGAUCCAGCCAUGCCGCGUGUGUGAAGAAGGCCUUCGGGUUGUAAAGCACUUUCAGUGGGGAAGAAAGCCUUGGGGCUAAUACCCUCGAGGAAGGACAUCACCCACAGAAGAAGCACCGGCUAACUCCGUGCCAGCAGCCGCGGUAAUACGGAGGGUGCGAGCGUUAAUCGGAAUUACUGGGCGUAAAGCGCGCGUAGGCGGUCUGAUAAGCCGGUUGUGAAAGCCCCGGGCUCAACCUGGGAACGGCAUCCGGAACUGUCAGGCUAGAGUGCAGGAGAGGAAGGUAGAAUUCCCGGUGUAGCAGUGAAAUGCGUAGAGAUCGGGAGGAAUACCAGUGGCGAAGGCGGCCUUCUGGACUGACACUGACGCUGAGGUGCGAAAGCGUGGGUAGCAAACAGGAUUAGAUACCCCAGUAGUC
rnacentral:rRNA from 1 species